CUUAUCUAAAACUUUGAUUCUAUUUCCUCUUUCUGCAGCUUUUCUUUUUGCUUGAAUUUGACGCACAUAUUCUGCUACUAUCACAUGGAACUUAGGAGCAAGUUUACUUGAUGAGGAAACAUUAAGACCUGCUUUCUUCAAAGCCCGAGUUACAUGCUUCUGAGCCUUUUGGAAGUGUACAGUGCAGAGAGAAGGAACAGUUGAUCUCAAUAUUGGCUUUCCACAUGUUAUAGGUCCUGACUGAGCACUCUUGAU
rnacentral:misc_RNA from 1 species